rnacentral:tRNA from 1 species
UCCGAUAUGGUCUAGUGGCUAGGAUUUGCCGCUCUCACUUGCAGAGUCAGUUCACUUGUUUCUCAACAGUGCCGGCAAGGCCCGGGUUCGAUUCCCGGUGUCGGAA